CAUAAAACUCCCAUCUGCAAGGCCCUCGUGCAAACACAACUCUUGUGCGGGUCCCUCGUGCAAAGAUCUUCUGCAAGCGCAACAACGUGAGACUCUCUAGUGCAAAUCCCUUGAGCAAACCCAACCCCAGACUCCCUCGUGCAAAUCCCUCGUGCAAACACAACUCCCUCACGCCCUCACACCCCAGUCUCGUGAGACCCCCUCCUGCAAAUCCCUGGUGCAAAUCCCUCGUGCAAACACAACACCAGCCCUUACAACCCAGCCUCGUGAGACUCCGCCCUCGUGCAAACGCAACCCUUUGCGACUCCCUGGUGCAAAUCCCUCGUGCAAACACCACCACCCCCCCGCCGUGCGCUCACCUUGAAGCGGCGUGCGAGGAACUUGUUCUUCAUCUCCAGGAAGUUCCCUUUGGACGCCUCGCCCUUGAAGGGCUCGUUGAUCACCCCGAAGGCGCCGUCGUUCUGGAUGUCCGUCCAGCGCGCGUAGCCGUGGCUGAGCGCUAAGGGCUGCCACCGGCACCAGGGGGCGCCACUGGGGCACCAUUGGGGCACUACUGGGGCACGAGUGGGCACCACUGGGGCACUACUGGGGCACUACUAUGUCACCACUGCGUCGUUGGGUCGCCAUUGGGCACCACUGGGGCACUAUUGGGCACUAUUGGGCACCACUGGGGCACUACUGGAGCAC
rnacentral:lncRNA from 1 species